UAAGGAAUAUUGCACAAUGGGGGGAACCCUGAUGCAGCAACGCCGCGUGAGCGAAGAAGGCCUUCGGGUCGUAAAGCUCUUUUCUGGGGGACGAGGAAGGACGGUACCUCAGGAAUAAGUCUCGGCUAACUACGUGCCAGCAGCCGCGGUAAAACGUAGGAGGCGAGCGUUAUCCGGAUUUACUGGGCGUAAAGGGCAAGUAGGCGGUUGUUCAAGUUGGGCGUGACAAAUCUCGGCUUAACUGAGAGGGGACGUUCAAGACUGGGCGACUAGAGGGCAGGAGAGGGAAGCGGAAUUCCUAGUGUAGCGGUGGAAUGCUCAGAUAUUAGGAAGAACACCAGUGGCGAAAGCGGCUUCCUGGUCUGUACCUGACGCUGAUAGGCGAAAGCUAGGGGAGCGAACG
rnacentral:rRNA from 1 species